rnacentral:sRNA from 1 species
AUGCAUCACUCCUGCAUUCUGGUUCCAGACGCGCUGUCCACACUCACCGGCUGCUGGCUACGUUUUGUUAGCC